rnacentral:rRNA from 1 species
UCCCUACGGGAGGCAGCAGUGAGGAAUAUUGGUCAAUGGACGCAAGUCUGAACCAGCCAUGCCGCGUGCAGGAAGACGGCUCUAUGAGUUGUAAACUGCUUUUGUACGAGGGUAAACGCAGAUACGUGUAUCUGUCUGAAAGUAUCGUACGAAUAAGGAUCGGCUAACUCCGUGCCAGCAGCCGCGGUAAUACGGAGGAUUCAAGCGUUAUCCGGAUUUACUGGGUUUAAAGGGUGCGUAGGCGGAAUGCCAAGUCAGCGGUAAAAUCGCGGGGCUCAACCUCGCUCCGCCGUUGAAACUGGCGU